GGGUGAGUAACGCGUGGGAAUCUACCCAGUACUACGGAAUAACUCAGGGAAACUUGUGCUAAUACCGUAUACGCCCUCCGGGGGAAAGAUUUAUCGGUAUUGGAUGAGCCCGCGUUUGAUUAGCUUGUUGGUGAGGUAAUGGCUCACCAAGGCGAUGAUCAAUAGCUGGUCAGAGAGGAUGAUCAGCCACACUGGGACUGAGACACGGCCCAGACUCCUACGGGAGGCAGCAGUGGGGAAUAUUGGACAAUGGGCGCAAGCCUGAUCCAGCCAUGCCGCGUGAGUGAUGACGGCCUUAGGGUUGUAAAACUCUUUCAACGGUGAAGAUAAUGACGGUAACCGUAGAAGAAGCCCCGGCUAACUUCGUGCCAGCAGCCGCGGUAAUACGAAGGGGGCUAGCGUUGUUCGGAAUAACUGGGCGUAAAGCGCGCGUAGGCGGACUAGUCAGUCAGGGGUGAAAUCCCGGGGCUCAACCCCGGAACUGCCUUUGAUACUGCUAAUCUUGAGUUCGAGAGAGGUGAGUGGAAUCCC
rnacentral:rRNA from 1 species